UCCGGUUGAUCCCGCCGGACCUGACUGCUAUCGGAUUGAUACUAAGCCAUGCGAGUCAUUGUAGCAAUACAAGGCAUACGGCUCAGUAACGCGUAGUCAACCUAACCUAUGGACGGGAAUAACCUCGGGAAACUGAGAAUAAUGCCCGAUAGAACAUUAUACCUGGAAUGGUUUAUGUUCCAAAUGAUUUAUCGCCGUAGGAUGGGACUGCGGCCUAUCAGUUUGUUGGUGAGGUAAUGGCCCACCAAGACUAUUACAGGUACGGGCUCUGAGAGGAGUAGCCCGGAGAUGGGUACUGAGACACGGACCCAGGCCCUAUGGGGCGCAGCAGGCGAGAAAACUUUGCAAUGUGCGAAAGCACGACAAGGUUAAUCCGAGUGAUUUCUGCUAAAGAGAUCUUUUGUUAGUCCUAGAAACACUAACGAAUAAGGGGUGGGCAAGUUCUGGUGUCAGCCGCCGCGGUAAAACCAGCAUCUCAAGUGGUCAGGAUGAUUAUUGGGCCUAAAGCAUCCGUAGCCGGCUCUGUAAGUUUUCGGUUAAAUCUGUACGCUUAACGUACAGGCCGCCGGGAAUACUGCAAAGCUAGGGAGUGGGAGAAGUAGACGGUACUCGGUAGGAAGUGGUAAAAUGCUUUGAUCUAUCGAUGACCACCUGUGGCGAAGGCGGUCUACUAGAACACGUCCGACGGUGAGGGAUGAAAGCUGGGGGAGCAAACCGGAUUAGAUACCCGGGUAGUCCCAGCUGUAAACUAUGCAAACUCAGUGAUGCAUUGGCUUGUGGCCAAUGCAGUGCUGCAGGGAAGCCGUUAAGUUUGCCGCCUGGGAAGUACGUACGCAAGUAUGAAACUUAAAGGAAUUGGCGGGGGAGCACCACAAGGGGUGAAGCCUGCGGUUCAAUUGGAUUCAACGCCGGA
rnacentral:rRNA from 1 species